rnacentral:rRNA from 1 species
ACGAACGCUGGCGGCGUGCCUAACCCAUGCAAGUCGAACGGAAAGGCCCUGCUUUUGUGGGGUGCUCGAGUGGCGAACGGGUGAGUAACACGUGAGUAACCUGCCCUUGACUUUGGGAUAACUUCAGGAAACUGGGGCUAAUACCGGAUAGGAGCUCCUGCUGCAUGGUGGGGGUUGGAAAGUUUCGGCGGUUGGGGAUGGACUCGCGGCUUAUCAGCUUGUUGGUGGGGUAGUGGCUUACCAAGGCUUUGACGGGUAGCCGGCCUGAGAGGGUGACCGGCCACAUUGGGACUGAGAUACGGCCCAGACUCCUACGGGAGGCAGCAGUGGGGAAUAUUGCACAAUGGGCGGAAGCCUGAUGCAGCAACGCCGCGUGCGGGAUGACGGCCUUCGGGUUGUAAACCGCUUUCGCCUGUGACGAAGCGUGAGUGACGGUAAUGGGUAAAGAAGCACCGGCUAACUACGUG